AUUGAACGCUGGCGGCAUGCUUUACACAUGCAAGUCGAACGGCAGCGCGGGCUUCGGCCUGGCGGCGAGUGGCGAACGGGUGAGUAAUGCAUCGGAACGUGCCCAGUAGUGGGGGAUAGCCCGGCGAAAGCCGGAUUAAUACCGCAUACGACCUGAGGGUGAAAGCGGGGGACCGAAAGGCCUCGCGCUAUUGGAGCGGCCGAUGUCGGAUUAGCUAGUUGGUGGGGUAAAGGCUUACCAAGGCGACGAUCCGUAGCUGGUCUGAGAGGACGACCAGCCACACUGGAACUGAGACACGGCCCAGACUCCUACGGGAGGCAGCAGUGGGGAAUUUUGGACAAUGGGGGCAACCCUGAUCCAGCCAUGCCGCGUGAGGGAAGAAGGCCUUCGGGUUGUAAACCGCUUUUGUUCGGGAAGAAAUCCUCUGGGCUAAUACCCCGGGGGGAUGACGGUACCGGAAGAAUAAGCACCGGCUAACUACGUG
rnacentral:rRNA from 1 species